CGGCGGACGGGUGAGUAAUGUAUGGGGAUCUGCCUGAUGGCGGGGGAUAACUACUGGAAACGGUAGCUAAUACCGCAUAACGUCGCAAGACCAAAGAGGGGGACCUUAGGGCCUCUUGCCAUCGGAUGUGCCCAGAUGGGAUUAGCUUGUAGGUAAGGUAACGGCUUACCUAGGCGACGAUCCCUAGCUGGUCUGAGAGGAUGACCAGCCACACUGGAACUGAGACACGGUCCAG
rnacentral:rRNA from 1 species